AAUCUGCUGCGUCAUGUGAGGGCUGGGUUUGUAUGGAGGACUUUUUCUGCCAUAAUCCAAGAGCACACAUUUUCAGCCUGAAAGCAGGAUUUCAUAUCUUUCUUCUCAAAACUUUUAAGUUAGAUAGAUAGAUAGAUAGAUAGAUAGAUAUCAUGUUGUGACUAUGUUGUCUUUGGUUGGGUGAACAAACUCCUGCCUAAGAUUAGUAGCUGUUAGCUGGCGGAUGUUUAGUGUACUACGGAGCAGAAAGCUGACAUGUUGUUUCUCCCUACAUCCAGCGGGUGGCGAAGGUUGCUACAAUCAAGAGUGGCCACACAGGCACAGACGUUAGAAGGAAACAAACGCACCCAAUACAACACUUUCAUUCUAUUGGCUGAGAGGUUCUUAGGCGACUGUGCCAAAAGGCAGUUCUAUGUUUCGUAAGCGAGCAGAGAUGAAGUGUGAGUGUGAUGAGAGGUUUUGAGUACAAGUAUUGCAAGAUUUGAGAAAAAAAGACAUAAAGUUUUGCUUUCAAAAUAAAAAUGUAAGCAAAAAUAUUAAAGGUUUUGAGAACAAAAGAUAUGAAAUCCUGCUUUCAGACUGAAAAUGUGCUCUUGGAUUACGACAUAAAAUUUCCUCCAUAGGUUUGACAGCUCAAGGAAAGGCUGGACAGAGUUGAUCAAAUCGACAGUCUGACAGUAUGUAGCAGAGGCUCAUAGGUUUGGAUUUGACGUAAAGUGUGUUUCAGGUGAAAUUUAUUGCUUGAGAGAUCCGUGUCAUCAUGGGGAUUUUAGGAAAAACACACGACUCACAGUUACUUGCUCAAGACACAGCAAAACCUUGUGUUAGGGAAAUGAUGAACAGAUGUAUCUCAAAUUAUUCAUCAAUCCAUUGUCCAUACCUGCUUGUCAGUCAUGUGUUUGGACUUGGGGUAAGCCGGAGUACCUAGAGAGAAUACAUUCAUGCACAUGGAGAGCAUACAAACUCCAAGCAGAAAGACCAAGACUUGAACCGAGGACCUUCUUGCUGCAAGGUCACCAUGCUAAUUAAAUGUAAUUAAAUGUAAUUUAUUUUAGUACAUUUAGUAAACAUUCAGA